GACCGGCGCACGGGUGCGUAACGCGUAUGCAACCUGCCCAUUCCCGGGGGAUAGCCCGCCGAAAGGCGGAUUAAUACCCCCAUGGACCCUUAGCCCCGCAUGGGGCGGAGGGUAAAGCUCCGGCGGGAAUGGAUGGGCAUGCGUGCCAUUAGCUGGUUGGUAGGGUAACGGCUUACCAAGGCUACGAUGGCUAGGGGGUCUGGGAGGAUGAUCCCCCACACUGGUACUGAGACACGGACCAGACUCCUACGGGAGGCAGCAGUGAGGAAUAUUGGUCAAUGGGCGGAAGCCUGAACCAGCCAUGCCGCGUGCAGGACGACGGCCCUACGGGUUGUAAACUGCUUUUCCGGGGGAAGAAUAACCGCCCUGCGGGGCGGGAUGCCGGUACCCCGGGAAUAAGGAUCGGCUAACUCCGUGCCAGCAGCCGCGGUAAUACGGAGGAUCCUAGCGUUAUCCGGAUUUACUGGGUUUAAAGGGUGCGUAGGCGGGCGUUUAAGUCCGCGGUGAAAGUCUGCGGCUCAACCGUAGGAUUGCCGUGGAUACUGGACGUCUUGGAUUCGGUCGGGGCGGGGCGAAUUGCGUGGUGUAGCGGUGAAAUGCAUAGAUAUCACGCAGAACGCCGAUAGCGAAGGCAGCUCGCCGGGCCGACAUCGACGCUGAGGCACGAAAGCGUGGGGAUCAAACAGGAUUAGAUACCCUGGUAGUCCACGCCGUAAACGAUGAUGGCUGGGUGUUGGCGAUACACCGUCAGCGCCUGAGGGAAACCAUAA
rnacentral:rRNA from 1 species